rnacentral:rRNA from 1 species
GACGAACGCUGGCGGCGUGCUUAACACAUGCAAGUCGAACGGAAAGGCCCUGCUUGCAGGGUACUCGAGUGGCGAACGGGUGAGUAACACGUGGGUGAUCUGCCCUGCACUUCGGGAUAAGCCUGGGAAACUGGGUCUAAUACCGGAUAGGAGCCAUUUUUAGUGUGAUGGUUGGAAAGUUUUUUCGGUGUAGGAUGAGCUCGCGGCCUAUCAGCUUGUUGGUGGGGUAAUGGCCUACCAAGGCGGCGACGGGUAGCCGGCCUGAGAGGGUGGACGGCCACAUUGGGACUGAGAUACGGCACAGACUCCUACGGGAGGCAGCAGUGGGGAAUAUUGCACAAUGGGCGCAAGCCUGAUGCAGCGACGCCGCGUGGGGGAUGACGGCCUUCGGGUUGUAAACUCCUUUCGCUAGGGACGAAGCUUUUUGUGACGGUACCUAGAUAAGAAGCACCGGCUAACUACGUG